AAAAAAAAAAAACUAAAACUUGGGAAAAAAAGAAUUAAUUGAUGCACCAUGCCUGCUACACAUCUUUGCAACCUAGAUCAAUGAGUGCUGUAAGAUCCAAACUCAAUCCAAUUGAAGCACGAGGGGAUCACACACGUAAGAAGGAGAAGAAAUGCUCGCAAUCCGAAAUAUGGUGCUGAACAAGACGAGUACGAGUAAAAAUAAUACAGAGGAGUGUUAGGCGCGGCAUAAAUGCCAGUGCCAGGAUUCAGAGGGGGAGGGGGACAAUUUAGCGCAGAUUCUGGGGAAGGAAGUGGAGGUGACGGCGGCAAUGGUGGAGGUGGUGGUGGUGGUAGCGGUGGUGACAAAGGAGGAGGAGACGGCGGAGUUUUCGAACAUGUGUCCUGGCAUGUCACACAUGUUGUGCUUAUAAUUUGAGGGGGAGGGGGAG
rnacentral:lncRNA from 1 species